UUGCAUUCUAAUGUGCAAGCCGUCUCUAAGUUAGAGUCCCAAUUGAGUCAAUUAGCAAGCACGUUGUGUGAGCGAGAAAAGAACAAGUUCCCGAGCCAACCCGAGGUAAACCCGAAAUUUCCUCUUAAUCAAAGACCCCCGGAUAAUGUGCAUUCGGUCAUUUCUCUUAGGUCGGGUAAACAAGUUGAUACCCAAGUUGGUGAGAACCUCGG
rnacentral:lncRNA from 1 species